UACGUAGGGCGCAAGCGUUGUCCGGAAUUAUUGGGCGUAAAGAGCUCGUAGGCGGUUUGUCGCGUCUGCUGUGAAAUCCCGAGGCUCAACCUCGGGCUUGCAGUGGGUACGGGCAGACUAGAGUGCGGUAGGGGAGACUGGAAUUCCUGGUGUAGCGGUGGAAUGCGCAGAUAUCAGGAGGAACACCGAUGGCGAGGGCAGGUCUCUGGGCCGCAACUGACGCUGAGGAGCGAAAGCAUGGGGAGCGAACAGG
rnacentral:rRNA from 1 species